rnacentral:rRNA from 1 species
UACGAAGGGUGCAAGCGUUAAUCGGAAUUCCUGGGCGUAAAGGGUGCGUAGGCGGUUCGUUAAGUCUGUCGUGAAAUCCCCGGGCUCAACCUGGGAAUGGCGAUGGAUACUGGCGAGCUAGAGUGUGUCAGAGGAUGGUGGAAUUCCCGGUGUAGCGGUGAAAUGCGCAGAUAUCGGAAGGAACAUCAGUGGCGAAAGCGACUUCCUGGACCAAUACUGACGCUCAUGUGCGAAAGCGUGGGGAGCAAACAGG